rnacentral:rRNA from 1 species
UACGGAGGUGGCAAGCGUUGCUCGGAAUCACUGGGCGUAAAGGGCGCGUAGGCGGGGAGGUAAGUCGGGGGUGAAAUCCCUCGGCCCAACCGAGGAACUGCGCCCGAGACUGCUUCUCUUGAGUCCCGGAGAGGAAGAUGGAAUUCCCGGUGUAGCGGUGAAAUGUGUAGAGAUCGGGAGGAACACCGGUGGCGAAGGCGGUCUUCUGGACGGUGACUGACGCUGAGACGCGAAAGCGUGGGGAGCGAACAGG